GAGAGAGGAGAGAGAAGAGGUGUGUGUGGUAGAAGUGUGGAUUCGCUAACUACGGUUUUUCUUUCAAGUACCAUCACUGCGAAUUAAGUGGUCGAGCACUAUAUGUGACUUUAGUGGUGGAAUAAGCUAUCUGUGGAAAGUAUAACCUCGGAGAGACGUUGUAUUACUGCGGAAAGAAAACAGUUAAAAACUGAAUACUAGUGGACACAUGGACUUUGAUAAUAAGUUAGCGAACAGCCGACUCUAGGUGCAGAGACUGUGUUUGUCACCGAGAAAGGAGCUGUGGACUUCGCAGAUGACUACCGGUGUGUGAAUCUCCUUCUCUUCUUAUCUUGCAACGACCCUGCGUGAGUGUGACCCCAUUCUUGAUCAAGGUGACCUAUCAUGAUGAGGCGACCUAUCAACCUCCUAUCAUGAUGAGGUUGGAGAAUACAUGCCAAGGGAUCUGAGACCAUUCCUCCAUGCGGAAUCUCUCCAGAUACUUCAAAUUUCAAUAGUCAACACUGGUGGAAUCUCUUCUUCAGUUCACUUCACAGGUUUUCUAUGGGUUUCAAGUCAGGGAACUGGGAUGGCCAUGACAGGACCUUCAUUUUGUGGGUGGUACCGGAUGUGCAGACCUACAAAUCAGAGUACUCCGCCAAAUAUCUUUGUAUCAGCACCUUGGAAGUAUGCUGUGUGUCCUAUCCACUUUGUGUGGAGAAGGAGCUUCAUGUUUACGACCGGACAUGUUGAGAGGGUGCAUGCUGGGAAAGAAAAGAAAAAGGGGAAGCGGAACUAAGGGAUUCACAGUGACCCACACUGAGUGAACAGCCCACCACACUGAUACUAGAGCCAAUUUAGCUGAUUUACAGUACUGUGCAGAGGCAUAUGUUUUAAAGCCAGAGGCAUAUGCAGUACUGUGCAGAAGCAAAUACUGUAAAGCAUUUAAUGUACAAUGUGCUGGUAACACUUUUCAAUAACAGUACAUGAAUAAUUGUGCACUAAUAGCUGAAAAUACUUAAAUAUGACCUAACAAUGAGUUAAGACAUAUUAAGAAUUUAUGAAAGAAACAGGUUAAAACAAAACUAACCUCACAUUAAUAAAUGAUUCAUGUUCAAUUUUGAAAUAUUUGAUAAUUUCCUUUUAGUCAGAUAAGUGUUAUCAAUCCAAUCAUUUUCUGUACAAGUUAUUCUACACAGGGUCAUGGGAAGCCUGGACCCAAUCCCAGGAGACUUGGAGCAUAAGGCAGGGGCCAUCCUGUACUGGGUGCCAACCCAUUGCAGGGCACAAUCGCACACAUACACACAUCAUGGACAAUUCAGAAAUGCCAAUCAGCCUACAACACAUCAUUAGGCUGGGGGAAGAAACCGGAGUACCCAAAGGAAAACUCAGAAGCACGGAGAGAACACGCAAACUCUGUGCAUGGUGGAGGUGGUAUUCAAACACCCAACCCUGGAGUUGUGAGGCAAACUUGCUAACCACUAAGCCACCAUGCCCCAAAUAAGUGUUAUGAAAUCAGUAAAAAUUUUCAUGCGCCAAAGGUGACAAAUCUUCGUUUAAAUAACUGCAAGAUACUAGCAUUUUCUUUGACAAAAAGCAUUAUCAUAUAUUAUAAUGGAAAACAAAACAGAAUUGCACUAUUCUGAACAAUUUGACUGUUUUUGAUGGCUGUGUUAAUUGUUUAAAGCACAUUGAAUUUCGGAGAAAUAUGUGACAUCAUUUGAAAAAAAAAAAAAAAAGCUAGCAAAAUUCGAGCCAGACAGCCAGCCAGCAUUGAUGAGAAAGAAUAAAUGAGAAUGGCUUUUGCAGACAAAUCUGUUCACAUUCUAAGAAUAGAUGGGAGAUGGUUGGUCUACAGAAAUUAAACGAUGUCUCCACUGAGACCAGACCAGUGUUGUUAUGACAACCUUUAGUGUCUCAGAAGCAACGACCAAAGAUUUCAGAGAGUAAAGGAAUGAAAUAUACAAAGGAAAAAUGGCAAAACAAUGUAUAAUGAUGUGUCUAUGAAUUCAGUUAUUACAGUGCUCUCCACUAAUAUUGGCACCCUUGGUAAAUAUGAGCAAA